AGCUAGUAGGUGAGGUAAGAGCUCACCUAGGCGACGAUGUGUAGCCGGUCUGAGAGGAUGAACGGCCACAAUGGAACUGAGACACGGUCCAUACUCCUACGGGAGGCAGCAGUGGGGAAUAUUGCACAAUGGGGGAAACCCUGAUGCAGCAACGCCGCGUGAGUGAAGAAGGUUUUCGGAUUGUAAAGCUCUGUUAGCAGGGAAGAGGAAGGACGGUACCUGCAGAGGAAGCCACGGCUAACUACGUGCCAGCAGCCGCGGUAAUACGUAGGUGGCAAGCGUUGUUCGGAAUAACUGGGCGUAAAGGAUGCGUAGGCGGUUGAGUAAGUUAUGUGUUAAAUAUAUAGGCUUAACCUGUAGAAAGCACAUAAAACUGUUUAACUAGAGUGCAGGAGAGGUAAGUGGAAUUCCUAGUGUAGCGGUGAAAUGCGUAGAGAUUAGGAAGAACACCAGUGGCGAAGGCGACUUACUGGACUGUAACUGACGCUGAGGCAUGAGAGCAUGGGGAGCAAACAGGAUUAGAUACCCUGGUAGUCCAUGCUGUAAACGAUGGGUACUAGGUGUGGGUUGUGAAUAACAAUCCGUGCCGUCGCAAACGCAAUAA
rnacentral:rRNA from 1 species